UCUACGGGUGGCAGCAGUGAGGAAUAUUGGUCAAUGGCCGUAAGGCUGAACCAGCCAAGUAGCGUGAGGGAAGACUGCCCUAUGGGUUGUAAACCUCUCUUAUGCGGGGAUAAAGGUGUCCACGUGCGGAUGUUUGCAGGUACCGCAUGAAUAAGGACCGGCUAGUUCCGUGACAGCAGCAGCGGUAAUACGGAAGGUCCGGGCGUUAGCCGGAUUUAUUGGGUGUAACGGGAGCGUAGGCCGGUCUUUAAGCGGGCCGUGAAAUUGUGUGGCUCAACCAUGAGAGUGCGGCGCGAACUGGAGACCUUGAGUGCGCGGAAGGCAGACGGAAUUCGUGGUGUAGCGGUGAAAUGCUUAGAUAUCACGAAGAACCCCGAUUGCGAAGGCAGCCUGCCGCAGCGUUACUGACGCUGAAGCUCGAAAGCGCGGGUAUCGAACAGGAUUAGAUACCCUUGUAGUC
rnacentral:rRNA from 1 species